GGGCGUGUGGCGCAGUUGGUAGCGCGACUGCUCCGCAAGCAGUAGGUCAUCGGUUCAAAUCCGGUCACGUCCA